UAUCGCGGGGCCACGCUCCACUAUCCAUUAGUUUCGUCGACUGGUGCUUUUGGCACGUUGCUAUAGAACGUACCUGUAGCCAGUGUUUUAAACCUGUACCGGAAUCCACAGCGCUAUGCGUAUCCAAUGGGAGUGGAUAGAAAAAAGUAUGCUGCUUAUCUUGCGAUUUCCCGGAAUACCAUGAAACGCCCCGUUAAGCGUACCGACUAUCAAGAAUAUCCUGAUUAGCUAUCCUGCAUGAGAAGAUUCGCAAAGACAGAGGAAUGCGAAUAAGACAUCCUGCCAAGGAAAGAGGUAGAAGCAACGAAGAAGGACAGGCAGCGCUUUAAAUUACAUAGUAACCGAUUUCCGCAGGGGCUUCCACCCGCACGUGAAAUCCACCCUGAUUGUUUAAACCUGAGGAUUAGGAGGAUGAGAAUGAGGUGGCUGGGCAGCGCAGGGAUUCCUAUGAAAAUUUUCCUGGGCUCAGCCUAAUUCGCUGGUUGUCAAAGGGAAGUCGCAGUGGCAACUGUUUCCAGGAGCGUGCAAGGAGGAGAUGCUGCGAGGUGAAAGCGAGCUCCGAGGGAUGUACCCAAGGGCGAAGGAGUGGGUGAAAGAGGAGGAAGAGGAAAACUUGAAAAAAAUAAAAAAAGCUAUGGAUAGAAUGGAGGACACAAUGGCAUUUAGUCAGUUCCGCAGUCGGUCCCGACUACAACGACACGCCGUAUCGAUCCCCUUCUCACGGUUUCUCCUCCGGUCGGAGGACGCUGCGAGGAGAAAAAAUUGAAAGAAGUUAUGAAAAUAAGCUGAAGCCGGAAAGGGGCGUACGAUAUGCGCAUGCGACGAUCGACACGCAACACAGGCGCGCUCUAAUUUUAGAUCUUGUCACUCUGACGCCAGCUGGUGCUCCUCCCUUCCCAUUACACACGUUUGCACACAGUCUCCGACGCACGAGGCACGCACCUCUCACGCAUCGCUUACGCACACGAUCCUAACGCUCUCGCAAGCGCUUACCCGGCUAUUGCCGAGUACAUAUGGAAGUAAAGGAUAACGCCAGGCGAGAGCGUGCGGUUCAGGCUGUGAUCUGCAGGAGAAUGAAUACACGGAGCAUAAUAGAGAGAAACGGGCGAAUAGAGAAAAAAAAAAGAAGAAGACGAACAUGUACCGAGGGAUGCGUACCUUAUGGUAGAAUCGGUAAUCACUCUCUGUACGGAAGGGAAGUAGACGUUUUCAUUGGACGUAGGCAGUGUGGAAGCACUGAUGAAUGCGUGUAGAUCGCGAUUCGGUAUACCGGACUAAUUACGAAUUCCGCAUUAUGCGUGGAUAUAACGGGGACACCGGGGAACGAUUGCGGUUAGCCUACCGGCACAGGAAUAUGGUAGGAGCACGCUCGUCGGAUGGAUGGAUAUCUCGCCUCUCUUGAACUUCCUAUAAUGGUACCUGCCUAGCCAGAUAGGUUCCCGGUAGAUGGAUACAAUAUACUGGAAUUGAGAAAGGAAGGUUGAAACGAGGCGCGUUCGUUGGACCUUCACUUCCUCUCAUUGUCUUCUCUCUUCAUUUUUGCCCGGCUUAAUUCAUCCCGCGGCAUCCACUUAAGCCGGGAAACGUCGGGGCCCCUCGUCGUAUAAUACAUCCGAUUAGCUUAUUAUCAUACUAAGAUCCAUUGAUAAAUUUAGCACGCCGUCCACACACUCGACGGCACUCCGUGUUACAUUUCUUUUCUCUGUAUCCAGGACUAAACGGAGUUCGGAGCUAAUGGAGAUACGUAUGUACAUUUCACGUGGUCAUGUGUUCGAAGACGACCUACAUGGAUGGACUACGCGAAUGCAGCUGGCACGGUUCUUAAUACCUUUGCGAUCUGAACAUCUGGCUGCGGUUUCGGCGUUUAGCGAUGACGGACCGCAACCAUUCCCACCUAACCAUCCACCCAUCCGACGUUGUAUAGGUGCGCAUGCCUCGAGGAGCAAGACGGAUUGGGAAGCAGAGUGCGGUGUCCUAUCGCGAACGGUCUGUCACGUGAUGCGCGUGAACGCCAGUGGAAUCGAGG